rnacentral:rRNA from 1 species
UACAGAGGGGGCAAGCGUUAUUCGGAAUUAUUGGGCGUAAAGGGCGCGUAGGCGGCUUGGCAAGUGGAUGGUGAAAUCCCUCGGCUUAACCGAGGAACGGCCGUCCAAACUGCUUCGCUUGAGACCGGGAGAGGUGAGUGGAAUUCCCAGUGUAGCGGUGAAAUGCGUAGAUAUUGGGAGGAACACCAGUGGCGAAGGCGGCAUCCUGGACCAACACUGACACUGAGGAGCGAAAGCCAGGGGAGCAAACGGG